ensembl:snRNA U2 U2 spliceosomal RNA
AUCACCUCUUGGCCUAUUGGCUAAGAUCAAGUGUAGUAUCUGUUCUUAUCAGUUAAUAUACAAUGUACAAAUUAUCUACAGACCCACUAAGAAAAUCCAACAAAUUCAGCAAAGGACAAGAGGGAUCCUAUCACCUCUGCAGGAGUCUACCGUAUACUGUGCAGCUGUGGACAAGUUUA